GAUGAACGCUGGCUACAGGCUUAACACAUGCAAGUCGAGGGGAAACGACGGGGAAGCUUGCUUCCCCGGGCGUCGACCGGCGCACGGGUGAGUAACGCGUAUCCAACCUGCCUCUGACUGAGGGAUAACCCGUCGAAAGUCGGCCUAAUACCUCAUGGCAUCGUCUGCGGGCAUCCAACGACGAUUAAAGAUUUCAUCGGUCAGGGAUGGGGAUGCGUCUGAUUAGCUUGUUGGCGGGGUAACGGCCCACCAAGGCUACGAUCAGUAGGGGUUCUGAGAGGAAGGUCCCCCACAUUGGAACUGAGACACCGUCCAAACUCCUACGGGAGGCAGCAGUGAGGAAUAUUGGUCAAUGGGCGGGAGCCUGAACCAGCCAAGUAGCGUGCAGGAGGACGGCCCUAUGGGUUGUAAACUGCUUUUAUGCGGGGAGAAAGUGAGGGACGUGUCCUUCAUUGGAGGUACCGCAUGAAUAAGGACCGGCUAAGUCCGUG
rnacentral:rRNA from 1 species